UACGUAGGGUGCAAGCGUUAAUCGGAAUUACUGGGCGUAAAGCGUGCGCAGGCGGCUUUGCAAGACAGAUGUGAAAUCCCCGGGCUCAACCUGGGAACUGCAUUUGUGACUGCAGGGCUUGAGUACGGCAGAGGGGGAUGGAAUUCCGCGUGUAGCAGUGAAAUGCGUAGAUAUGCGGAGGAACACCGAUGGCGAAGGCAGUCCCCUGGGCCUGUACUGACGCUCAUGCACGAAAGCGUGGGGAGCAAACAGG
rnacentral:rRNA from 1 species